rnacentral:tRNA from 1 species
GCACCCAUAGCUCAGUUGGUAGAGCAGCUGACUCUUAAUCAGCGGGUCCAAGGUUCGAGUCCUUGUGGGUGUACCA